UACGAAGGGGGCUAGCGUUGCUCGGAAUCACUGGGCGUAAAGCGCACGUAGGCGGCUUUUUAAGUCAGAGGUGAAAUCCUGGAGCUCAACUCCAGAACUGCCUUUGAUACUGGAGAGCUUGAGUCCGGGAGAGGUGAGUGGAACUGCGAGUGUAGAGGUGAAAUUCGUAGAUAUUCGCAAGAACACCAGUGGCGAAGGCGGCUCACUGGCCCGGUACUGACGCUGAGGUGCGAAAGCGUGGGGAGCAA
rnacentral:rRNA from 1 species